GUGCCAGCCGCCGCGGUAAGACGUAGGGCGCGAGCGUUGUCCGGAUUUAUUGGGCGUAAAGAGCUCGUAGGCGGCUUGUCGCGUCGUCCGUGAAAACCUGCAGCUCAACUGCAGGCUUGCGGUCGAUACGGGCAGGCUGGAGUUCGGUAGGGGAGACUGGAAUUCCUGGUGUAGCGGUGAAAUGCGCAGAUAUCAGGAGGAACACCGGUGGCGAAGGCGGGUCUCUGGGCCGAUACUGACGCUGAGGAGCGAAAGCGUGGGGAGCGAACAGGAUUAGAUACCCCCGUAGUCC
rnacentral:rRNA from 1 species